CGUAAACAUAAUAUGCACUGAGGUUAUUGCUUAAAGGACCACUAUAGGCACCCAGACAACUUCAGCUUAAUGAAGGGGUCUGGGUGCGAGAUCCAGCUUGGUUUAACCCUUUUUGCUGUAAACAUAGCAGUUUCAGAGUCCGACCACUCAUCUAGGGUACGUGCCCGUUUCCAAGAUCUGGCUGCUUUUGCCCAGCCAGAGGCUCUUUUGCGCGGUUGUAACGCGCCCUCCUUGAUCGCCAAGGGCGGAUCAGUCAUCAUAGGCAUAGCCUUAUCAGUGGAGUGAGAGCUCAGGUGCUUAGUUUUAUUUUUCGCCUUGCGGGACACAGUGUCCGCAGUGGCGGAUGGGGGAUGCACCACAGAGGUAGCUAUGUGUGCGUUAUGGGCUUGGGAUAACGCUUGUGUGAGAGUUUGGGAGAAUGAAGCGGACAUAGCUCCCAUAGCGGAGGCCAGCGCUUUAUUUAUAGAUGCAGCCAUAGUAGUGUCCAGUAUAUUCUGGAAUUCCUCAGAGGCCAUUAAGGCUGUAUCAUCAGUCGUGGGGUUUAGAAAUGGGUCCACAGUG